GACCUCCAGUGCCGCGACAUUGAAACGAUUGAUGUAGGCCCGAAUGGACUCCCCUUCCCUCUGCUUGAUAUUGAUGAGGGACUCCGAACCCUUUCGGGGGCACUGGCUGCUGACAAAAUGGGCCAUGAAUUGGUGGCUCAUCUGAUCGAAGGAAAAGAUGGUACCCGACUUCAGUGCCGAGUACCAGUUUCUCGCCGCUCCCUUCAAGGU
rnacentral:lncRNA from 1 species